AUUGAACGCUGGCGGCAGGCUUAACACAUGCAAGUCGAGCGGGGAAGGUUGCUUCGGUAACUAACCUAGCGGCGGACGGGUGAGUAAUGCUUAGGAAUCUGCCUAUUAGUGGGGGACAACAUUCCGAAAGGAAUGCUAAUACCGCAUACGCCCUACGGGGGAAAGCAGGGGAUCUUCGGACCUUGCGCUAAUAGAUGAGCCUAAGUCGGAUUAGCUAGUUGGUGGGGUAAAGGCCUACCAAGGCGAAGAUCUGUAGCGGGUAUGAGAGGAUGAUCCGCCACACUCGGACUGAGACACGGCCCAGACUCCUACGGGAGGCAGCAGUGGGGAAUAUUGGACAAUGGGCGGAAGCCUGAUCCAGCCAUGCCGCGUGUGUGAAGAAGGCCUUUUGGCUGUAAAGCACUUUAAGCGAGGAGGAGGCUCCUUUAGUUAAUACCUAAAGAGAGUGGACGUUACUCGCAGAAUAAGCACCGGCUAACUCUGUGCCAGCCGCCGCGGUAA
rnacentral:rRNA from 1 species